rnacentral:ncRNA from 1 species
AGAAGCAGCCAUCAUUUAAAGAAAGCGUAACAGCUCACUGGUCUAAAUAAGGGUCUUUGCGCCGAAAAUGUACCGGGGCUAAAGCCAUACACCGAAGCUUAGGGUUUGCAGCUUGCUGCAAGCGGUAGCGGAGCGUUCUGUAAGCUGACGAAGCCGUACCUGUGAGGGGCGGUGGAGGUAUCAGAAGUGCGAAUGCUGACAUGAGUAACGAUAAAGCGGGUGAAAAGCCCGCUCGCCGGAAGACCAAGGGUUCCUGUCCAACGUUAAUCGGGGCAGGGUGAGUCGACCCCUAAGGCGAGGCCGAAAGGCGUAGUCGAUGGGAAACAGGUUAAUAUUCCUGUACUUGGUGUUACUGCGAAGGGGGGACGGAGAAGGCUAUGUUGGCCGGGCGACGGUUGUCCCGGUUUAAGCGUGUAGGCUGGUUUUCCAGGCAAAUCCGGAAAAUCAAGGCUGAGGCGUGAUGACGAGGCACUACGGUGCUGAAGCAACAAAUGCCCUGCUUCCAGGAAAAGCCUCUAAGCAUCAGGUAACAUCAAAUCGUACCCCAAACCGACACAGGUGGUCAGGUAGAGCAUACCAAGGCG